GGAGCCGAGCAGCGCUGGAAUCCAGGGGGAGGCUCGCGACGUGCUUCCCGGGCUUCCGCAGCCGCACAGGCGGGCUGCCAGAGCCAGGAUCAGCACGCGCGAUUGCCACCACCCCAAUAAGCAAGGGAGGCAGCGGCAGGAGGACUCGGGGCUGUGCACCCAACCAGUAACUCUCUCUAUGUUCAGAAGGAAUCAGCGGCAGUGAAGGACCCUGGGAAGCAGGGAAGAAUCUGAACUGCGAUGACUUGCUGCCCUUCUGGCUUUGAAGUGCUGCUCUGGCCGCUGUUGGGCAACCUGAACUUGUACUGAAAGCAGCAAACGUGCCAAUUAAGAGUUCUAAUGUUUAGCAGUUGUCUCUGAGUUUACUUGUGUAAGAACAGAACUUCUGUAGUAACACAAAUAAUGAUUUCAACU